UUUUUCGUAUCUCUUGAAAAAUAACUUGGGCGAAUCGAAUGCAAGUGUACGAACGAACUUCGUGUCCACAAUUCAUUUCCUUUUUAGAUCUUUAAAACUAUAUGUGGUUUACUAUAAUUUGUCACUUUACUUUUCUAUCCUGGUGAAGAUCACGUCCCAAACAAUUCUUUUACUGAUUUUCUCGUUUCUACAUGGGUGAAGAUCAUAAAAUAUAC
rnacentral:lncRNA from 1 species